AGUAGUAGGAAUAGUCGAAGUCGUAUAGACUGGACUAGUCCUACAGAGGUAACCAUGUAAGAAAAAAGCGCUGGGAGUUCUACUUCAUAGAUUUAUAUACUAAUUCUUACCUGUCAAUUAUAUUUAUUAUUUCUUAUGCAUUUAUCGUAAAACAAAUACGUACCGACAUCGUAUCUAACACGGAUCACUGCGAGACGCAAGCUACCAUUAAAAUAAGAUAUA